rnacentral:rRNA from 1 species
AGGAAUCUGCCUGGUAGUGGGGGACAACGUUUCGAAAGGAACGCUAAUACCGCAUACGUCCUACGGGAGAAAGCAGGGGACCUUCGGGCCUUGCGCUAUCAGAUGAGCCUAGGUCGGAUUAGCUAGUUGGUGGGGUAAUGGCUCACCAAGGCGACGAUCCGUAACUGGUCUGAGAGGAUGAUCAGUCACACUGGAACUGAGACACGGUCCAGACUCCUACGGGAGGCAGCAGUGGGGAAUAUUGGACAAUGGGCGAAAGCCUGAUCCAGCCAUGCCGCGUGUGUGAAGAAGGCCUUCGGAUUGUAAAGCACUUUAAGUUGGGAGGAAGGGCAGUAAGCUAAUACCUUGCUGUUUUGACGUUACCGACAGAAUAAGCACCGGCUAACUCUGUGCCAGCAGCCGCGGUAAUACAGAGGGUGCAAGCGUUAAUCGGAAUUACUGGGCGUAAAGCGCGCGUAGGUGGUUUGUUAAGUUGGAUGUGAAAGCCCCGGGCUCAACCUGGGAACUGCAUCCAAAACUGGCAAGCUAGAGUACGGUAGAGGGUGGUGGAAUUUCCUGU